rnacentral:rRNA from 1 species
UACAGGGGGGGCAACCGUUGCUCGGAAUCAUUGGGCGUAAAGCGCACGUAGGCGGUCUGUUAUGUCGGAUGUGAAAGCCCUUGGCUUAACUGAGGAAGUGCAUCCGAAACUGGCAGGCUAGAGUACUAAAGAGGGUCGCGGAAUUCCCGGUGUAGAGGUGAAAUUCGUAGAUAUCGGGAGGAACACCGGUGGCGAAGGCGGCGACCUGGGUAGAUACUGACGCUGAGGUGCGAAAGCGUGGGGAGCAAACAGG